rnacentral:rRNA from 11 species
CAACUCUCAACAACGGAUAUCUUGGCUCCCGUAACGAUGAAGAACGCAGCGAAAUGCGAUACGUAGUGUGAAUUGCAGAAUUCCGUGAACCAUCGAAUCUUUGAACGCAAAUUGCGCUUGAGGCUUCGGCCAAGAGCAUGUCUGGCUCAGCGUC